CACGGGGGUUGCGAGCGUUGUCCGGAAUUACUAGGCGUAAAGGGCAGGCAGGCGGAUCCAUAAGUUUAUCGUUUAAGGCGUCGGCUUAACCGGCGUAGGGCGGUAGAUACUGUGGAUCUGGAUGCGGUUGGGGAAGACAGAAUUCCUGGUGUAGCGGUGGAAUGCGCAGAGAUCAGGAGGAAUACCGAAUGCGAAGGCAGUCUUCCAAGCCGUUAUUGUCGCUCAACUGCGAAGGUGUGGGUAUCAAACAGGAUUAGAUACCCUGUAGUCCCU
rnacentral:rRNA from 1 species